CUCAACAUGAAGACAAGGAUGAAGACCUUAACGAUGAUCUGUUUCCAGUUAAUGAAUGAUGAGAGCUGGAAACAUCCAUCAGAGACCAUCCAGUCCAACUACUACUUCAUUCUACACGCUGAGACUCUGAGGUGGGGGGAAUGGCCUCCCGGAGUCACACAGGGCAUUAGUGGCCCAAUCCCAAGUGCUCAGGAGCAGAAACACAAGGUUGUGCCAAGUAAUAAGAAAUUCACAUCUGACUCUGGAAAUUAAAUAGAAGCAUGUUCAUCACCCAAGUUCCCACUUCACCCAGCUGAGCACUGAUUUGGACAUGGCAGUGAUGGCCACUGUUCUCCCACGGACCCGUGGACAUUUUCUAAAGAAACUGUCUUCGCCCUCUAACCCAACAUCCUUUGUUCAAUGGACUGUCCUAAACAGACACAUGUGUAUUGUGACCUCCAUAACCCACUCCCAACACAGGACCACAGGCCAGAGCAUAAUGGCAGCUGACCAGUGACCUAUAAUAUGGGAUGGAAUGAUGAGAUAAGUCAUUAGGAAGAAGAGCAGAGAGUAUUAGGAGCAAAGGCUGAGAUUAGAUGAGGUUCAAAGAGAAUAGGGGAGCCACAACAGGCCAGAACACAAAGAAACCAAAGGUCAUAAGGAGUAGGAACUAUAUGGAGGCAGAAGCAGUGACAGAGAAAAGAAAGACAAAAGUAGAAGAUGAGGAAGCCAGCCAAUAGUAACAACACAUCAGAGCAGACCCACAAACAGUAGCUGAGUCAGGGUCAUGAUGGAAGACCAGAACAAUGGUCCAUGGGCUUGCUUUGGGUCCAAGGAGCUGGAUUGAGCUCAAGACCAUACUCUAUGUCUAGUUCUAUGAGGCCCAGCUCCUAAACGAUGACUUCCCUUUCUCUGAAUUGCUCCAUGUCCAUCCUUUACAAAAGACAACUCAUUUUGCUGAGCCAGCCUAGGCGGGUCUAUGUACCUUACAGCCAACCAACAAAAGCAAGCCAGCAUGCAACCACUUCAAACAGCUUGACUACAGCAGGCAGAGAUCCAGCCUGUGCCUCUACUGCAGAUGGUAUUUUUGAUGCCUUGAUGUAAAGGAAAACUAAGGAAGACAGAUCUUGAGAUAACUGGCCCACAGUCACACAGCAAGUUAAAAGGGCUGAGUUGCAUGCCCAGACUUCCUGACUCCAAAAUCUACACUCUAACCACUGUGCUAGGUGAAAAAGCAAGGCCUUUGUGAACCUGGAAGACAGGAGACAAGACAAAGAGCAUUAAAAAA